rnacentral:rRNA from 1 species
CGGGCCUACGGGGCGCAGCAGUGGGGGAUAUUGCACAAUGGGGGGAACCCUGAUGCAGCGACGCCGCGUGGGUGAAGAAGCGCCUCGGCGCGUAAAGCCCUGUCAGCAGGGAAGAAAAUGACGGUACCUGAAGAAGAAGCCCCGGCUAACUACGUGCCAGCAGCCGCGGUAAUACGUAGGGGGCAAGCGUUAUCCGGAUUUACUGGGUGUAAAGGGAGCGUAGACGGCAGGGCAAGUCUGGAGUGAAAGGCGGGGGCUCAACCCCCGGACUGCUCUGGAAACUGCCAGGCUGGAGUGCAGGAGAG